rnacentral:rRNA from 1 species
GACGUAGGGUCCAAGCGUUGUCCGGAUUUACUGGGCGUAAAGAGCGCGUAGGCGGCUCAUUAAGUGUGAAGUGAAAUCUCCAGGGCUCAACCCGGAAACUGCUUUACAUACUGAUGAGCUUGAGGAAUGCAGAGGUUAGUGGAAUUCCUGGUGUAGCGGUGAAAUGCGUUGAUAUCAGGAGGAACACCAAUGGCGAAGGCGACUUCCUGGCCUGUUCUUGACGCUGAGGCGCGAAAGCUAGGGGAGCAAACGGG